rnacentral:rRNA from 1 species
AUUGCCUUAGUAACGGCGAGUGAAGCGGCAAAAGCUCAAAUUUGAAAUCUGGUACCUUCGGUGCCCGAGUUGUAAUUUGGAGAGGGCAACUUUGGGGCCGUUCCUUGUCUAUGUUCCUUGGAACAGGACGUCAUAGAGGGUGAGAAUCCCGUGUGGCGAGGAGUGCGGUUCUUUGUAAAGUGCCUUCGAAGAGUCGAGUUGUUUGGGAAUGCAGCUCUAAGUGGGUGGUAAAUUCCAUCUAAAGCUAAAUAUUGGCGAGAGACCGAUAGCGAACAAGUACAGUGAUGGAAAGAUGAAAAGAACUUUGAAAAGAGAGUGAAAAAGUACGUGAAAUUGUUGAAAGGGAAGGGCAUUUGAUCAGACAUGGUGUUUUGUGCCCUCUGCUCCUUGUGGGUAGGGGAAUCUCGCAUUUCACUGGGCCAGCAUCAGUUUUGGUGGCAGGAUAAAUCCAUAGGAAUGUAGCUUGCCUCGGUAAGUAUUAUAGCCUGUGGGAAUACUGCCAGCUGGGACUGAGGACUGCGACGUAAGUCAAGGAUGCUGGCAUAAUGGUUAUAUGCCGCCCGUCUUGAAACACGGA